ACAUGACGCCCUUCUGAUCAUUAUACUUGUCCGGGCCCUAAAAAUGCAUGUUUAUUAGUGUUGCCUAGCGUCUGCGUCGGACAACUCUCCUCCGUCUGUGGACAUGGGAGGACCUGUGAGUCCUCCUACGUCUACGAACGGGGCGAGCGGCGUGUCUGCGUCUGCGUGGCAUUGU